UGUAUGCAAAUGUCAAUGGUUGGUAACGCCCAUAAUAUGAAUAUUCAUGAGCUUGACUGAUAUUAUUAUCCUCUAUUCCAGGCACCUUUCCAUUUUGUGUUCUUUGUGCAUUCUUAUCAGAAAUCCUACGUGCGGUAAAUAAGUCUCUGUAUCACCAUUCUCCUUCUUAUUUGUAUGCAGAUUUGGUUAUAAUGAUUGAUAACUGUAAUCAUCCUCAUUAUUUUAAUAAGAAAUUUUUCUAUCUGUGAUGGAAGUUUUUAUGUACGAUUGCCUGAUCUGAAGACAAGACUUUCGCUGCAUGCAUAUUUAAUGUAUGACGUCACCCACACAGAGUGAGAGCUCGAAGUUUUCUUUGAAAGUUUGAUGGAAAAUGUACAGAGACACUUGUCGCAGUUAAUGCAUGCAGUACCAAAUGCUUGCUUUCUUGGAGUAUGUGCUUGAAACAAGAAUGUCCUGGAGAAAACAGACCACCACAAGAGAAGACAUACAUGUACAGUAUGGACUAUGAAGUUCUACUUAGCCUCUUCAAUGAACUGCUGGAGCUGCGACUGGGUAUCAAAACCUUGGUAUUAUAAACUUCAUAACCAGUGGCGGAGAUAUGUUGUUAGCCAGGGGGGAGGGGUCAGUGCCCCCCCCCCCCCCCCACUUUUUCAAGUACCCCCAGUAUGCCCCUUUUAUGGCCUUUUCACAUAGGUAAAGUGCCAUAUUACUUUGACAAGUUCCCUUAUUAAUUUGUA